GCGACCCCAGAUCAAGCGAGAACACCCGC
rnacentral:rRNA from 1 species